UACGUAGGGUCCAAGCGUUAUCCGGAAUCACUGGGCGUAAAGCGUCCGCAGCCGGGAGUCUAAGUGAGGUGUUAAAUCGUGUGGCUCAACCAUAUCGAUGCAUCUCAUACUGGGCACCUAGAGGAAAUCAGAGGCAAGUGGAAUUACGAGUGUAGCGGUAAAAUGCGUAGAUAUUCGUAGGAACACCAAUGGCGAAGGCAGCUUGCUGGGAUUUUUCUGACGGUCAGGGGCGAAAGCGUGGGGAGCGAACAGG
rnacentral:rRNA from 1 species